rnacentral:rRNA from 1 species
AGGUUAAGUGAAUAAGGGCGCACGGUGGAUGCCUUGGCACUAGGAGCCGAUGAAGGACGGGACUAACACCGAUAUGCUUUGGGGAGCUGUAAGUAAGCUAUGAUCCAGAGAUUUCCGAAUGGGGGAACCCAGCAUCUUUUAUAGGAUGUUACGUCUGCGUGAAUACAUAGCGCAGUCGAGGUAGACGCAGAGAACUGAAACAUCUAAGUACCUGCAGGAAGAGAAAGAAAAUUCGAUUCCCUGAGUAGCGGCGAGCGAAACGGGAAAAGCCCAAACCAACAAGCUUGCUUGUUGGGGUUGUAGGACUCCGAUAUGGUAGUCUAUUCAGAUAGUCGAAAUACUUGGAAAAGUAUGUCAAAGAGGGUAAAAACCCCGUAGGCGAAAUUUGGAUAACACCUAGGAGGAUCCUGAGUACGGCGGAACACGAGGAAUUCCGUCGGAAUCCGGGAGGACCAUCUCCCAAGGCUAAAUACUCCCUAGUGACCGAUAGUGAACCAGUACCGUGAGGGAAAGGUGAAAAGCACCCCGGAAGGGGAGUGAAAUAGAUCCUGAAACCGUGUGCCUACAACAAGUUAGAGCCCGUUAAUGGGUGAUAGCGUGCCUUUUGUAGAAUGAACCGGCGAGUUACGAUAGCAUGCGAGGUUAAGUUGAAGAGACGGAGCCGCAGCGAAAGCGAGUCUGAAUAGGGCGAAUGAGUAUGUUGUCGUAGACCCGAAACCAUGUGAUCUACCCAUGUCCAGGUUGAAGGUGCGGUAAAACGCACUGGAGGACCGAACCCACGUACGUUGAAAAGUGCGGGGAUGAGGUGUGGGUAGCGGAGAAAUUCCAAACGAACUUGGAGAUAGCUGGUUCUCUCCGAAAUAGCUUUAGGGCUAGCCUCGGAAUUGAGAAUGAUGGAGGUAGAGCACUGUUUGGACUAGGGGCCCAUCUCGGGUUACCGAAUUCAGAUAAACUCCGAAUGCCAUUCAUUCAUAUCCGGGAGUCAGACUGUGAGUGAUAAGAUCCAUAGUCGAAAGGGAAACAGCCCAGACCACCAGCUAAGGUCCCCAAAUAACUAUUAAGUGGAAAAGGAUGUGGGGUUGCACAGACAACUAGGAUGUUGGCUUAGAAGCAGCCACCAUUUAAAGAGUGCGUAAUAGCUCACUAGUCGAGUGACCCUGCGCCGAAAAUGUACCGGGGCUAAAUAGUUUACCGAAGCUGUGGAGUGCACCAUCAGGUGCAUUGGUAGGAGAGCGUUCUAAGGGCGUUGAAGGCAGAUCGUGAGGACUG